rnacentral:tRNA from 1 species
GCUGGGUUGGCUGAGUGGUUAAAGCGCCGGUCUUGAGAACCGGUUUCCGCAAGGAUUCACAGGUUCGAAUCCUGUACCCAGCG